rnacentral:rRNA from 1 species
ACGUAGGGGGCGAGCGUUGUCCGGAAUUACUGGGCGUAAAGGGUGCGUAGGCGGCCGAUUAAGUUGGAUGUGAAAUACCCGGGCUUAACCUGGGGGGUGCAUCCAAUACUGGUUGGCUAGAGUGCAGGAGAGGGAAGCGGAAUUCCUAGUGUAGCGGUGAAAUGCGUAGAUAUUAGGAGGAACACCAGUGGCGAAGGCGGCUUUCUGGACUGUAACUGACGCUGAUGCACGAAAGCGUGGGGAGCAAACAG